rnacentral:rRNA from 1 species
UACGGGGGGGGCAAGCGUUGUUCGGAAUUACUGGGCGUAAAGGGCUCGUAGGCGGCCAACUAAGUCACACGUGAAAUCCCCCGGCUUAACCUGGGAACUGCGUCUGAUACUGGGAGGCUUGAGUAUGGGAGAGGGAUGUAGAAUUCCAGGUGUAGCGGUGAAAUGCGUAGAUAUCUGGAGGAAUACCGGUGGCGAAGGCGGCAUCCUGGACCAUAACUGACGCUGAGGCGCGAAAGCUAGGGGAGCAAACGGG